ACAGGUGGUGCAUGGUUGUCGUCAGCUCGUGUCGUGAGAUGUUGGGUUAAGUCCCGCAACGAGCGCAACCCUUGAUUUUAGUUGCCAGCAUUUAGUUGGGCACUCUAAAGUGACUGCCGGUGCAAGCCGGAGGAAGGUGGGGAUGACGUCAAAUCAUCAUGCCCCUUAUGACCUGGGCUACACACGUGCUACAAUGGAUAGUACAAAGGGUCGCGAAGCCGCGAGGUGGAGCUAAUCCCAUAAAACUAUUCUCAGUUCGGAUUGUAGGCUGCAACUCGCCUACAUGAAGCCGGAAUCGCUAGUAAUCGUGGAUCAGCAUGCCACGGUGAAUACGUUCCCGGGCCUUGUACACACCGCCCGUCACACCACGAGAGUUUGUAACACCCGAAGUCGGUAGGGUAACCUUUAUGGAGCCAGCCGCCGAAGGUGGGACAGAUAAUUGGG
rnacentral:rRNA from 1 species